rnacentral:rRNA from 1 species
AGUGAACGCUGGCGGUAGGCCUAACACAUGCAAGUCGAACGGCAGCACAGUAAGAGCUUGCUCUUACGGGUGGCGAGUGGCGGACGGGUGAGGAAUACAUCGGAAUCUACUUUUUCGUGGGGGAUAACGUAGGGAAACUUACGCUAAUACCGCAUACGACCUACGGGUGAAAGCAGGGGAUCUUCGGACCUUGCGCGAUUGAAUGAGCCGAUGUCGGAUUAGCUAGUUGGCGGGGUAAAGGCCCACCAAGGCGACGAUCCGUAGCUGGUCUGAGAGGAUGAUCAGCCACACUGGAACUGAGACACGGUCCAGACUCCUAGGGGAGGCAGCGGUGGGGAUUAUUGGACAAGGGGCGCAAGCCUGAUCCAGCCAUACCGCGUGGGUGAAGAAGGCCUUCGGGUGGUAAAGCCCUUUUGUGGGGAAAGAAAAGCAGCAGGUUAAUACCCCGCUGUUCUGACGGUACCCAAAGAAUAAGCACCGGCUAACUUCGU